rnacentral:rRNA from 1 species
AGAACGAACGCUGGCGGCAUGCCUAACACAUGCAAGUCGAACGAACCCUUCGGGGUUAGUGGCGCACGGGUGCGUAACGCGUGGGAACCUACCAUCAGGUUCGGAAUAACAGUUAGAAAUGACUGCUAAUACCGGAUAAUGUCUUCGGACCAAAGAUUUAUCGCCUUUUGAUGGGCCCGCGUUGGAUUAGCUAGUUGGUAAGGUAAAGCUUACCAAGGCGACGAUCCAUAGCUGGUCUGAGAGGAUGAUCAGCCACACUGGGACUGGAGACACGGCCCAGACCU